GACGAACGCUGGCGGCGUGCCUAAUACAUGCAAGUCGAACGAAGCUGUUUUAACUGGUGCUUGCACCGACUUAAACAACUGAGUGGCGAACGGGUGAGUAACACGUGGGUAACCUGCCCCAAAGCGGGGGAUAACAUUUGGAAACGGAUGCUAAUACCGCAUAAUCACAGAAACCACAUGGUUUCUGUGUCAAAGAUGGUUUCGGCUAGCACUUCGGGAUGGACCCGCGGCGUAUUAGCUAGUUGGUAAGGUAAUGGCUUACCAAGGCAAUGAUACGUAGCCGAACUGAGAGGUUGAUCGGCCACAUUGGGACUGAGACACGGCCCAAACUCCUACGGGAGGCAGCAGUAGGGAAUCUUCCACAAUGGACGAAAGUCUGAUGGAGCAACGCCGCGUGAGUGAAGAAGGUUUUCGGAUCGUAAAACUCUGUUGUCAGAGAAGAACGUGUGCGAGAGUAACUGUUCGUGCAGUGACGGUAUCUGGCCAGAAAGCCACGGCUAACUACGUGCCAGCAGCCGCGGUAA
rnacentral:rRNA from 1 species